rnacentral:rRNA from 1 species
CAGAGGGGGCAAGCGUUGUUCGGAAUUACUGGGCGUAAAGGGCGCGUAGGCGGCCUGCUAAGUCGAACGUGAAAUCCCCAGGCUCAACCUGGGAACUGCGUCCGAUACUGACAGGCUUGAAUCCGGGAGAGGGAUGUGGAAUUCCAGGUGUAGCGGUGAAAUGCGUAGAUAUCUGGAGGAACACCGGUGGCGAAGGCGGCAUCCUGGACCGGUAUUGACGCUGAGGCGCGAAAGCUAGGGUAGCAAACGGGAUUAGAUACCCCGGUAGUCCUAGCCCUAAACGAUGAAUGCUUGGUGUGGCGGGUAUCGAUCCCUGCCGUGCCGAAGCUAACGCAUUAAGCAUUCCGCCUGGGGAGUACGGUCGCAAGGCUG